rnacentral:rRNA from 1 species
AACGAACGCUGGUGGCAGGCUUAACACAUGCAAGUCGAGCGCCCCGCAAGGGGAGCGGCAGACGGGUGAGUAACGCGUGGGAAUCUACCCAUCUCUAUGGAAUAACGCAUGGAAACGUGUGCUAAUACCGUAUACGUCCUUCGGGAGAAAGAUUUAUCGGAGAUGGAUGAGCCCGCGUUGGACUAGCUAGUUGGUGGGGUAAAGGCCUACCAAGGCGACGAUCCAUAGCUGGUCUGAGAGGAUGAUCAGCCACACUGGGACUGAGACACGGCCCAGACUCCUACGGGAGGCAGCAGUGGGGAAUAUUGGACAAUGGGCGCAAGCCUGAUCCAGCCAUGCCGCGUGAGUGAUGAAGGCCCUAGGGUUGUAAAGCUCUUUCACCGGUGAAGAUAAUGACGGUAACCGGAGAAGAAGCCCCGGCUAACUUCGUGCCAGCCGCCGCGGUAACAC